CCUACGGGUGGCAACAGUGAGGAAUAUUGGUCAAUGGGCGGAAGCCUGAACCAGCCAAGUCGCGUGAGGGAAUAAGGCCCUACGGGUCGUAAACCUCUUUUGCCGGGGAGCAAGGGCCGGGACGCGUCCCGGCCCGGAGAGUACCCGGAGAAAAAGCAUCGGCUAACUCCGUGCCAGCAGCCGCGGUAAUACGGAGGAUGCGAGCGUUAUCCGGAUUUAUUGGGUUUAAAGGGUGCGUAGGCGGUUUUAUAAGUUAGAGGUGAAAAUUCGGGGCUCAACUCCGGACGUGCCUCUAAUACUGUAUGACUAGAGAAGAGAUGCGGUAGGCGGAAUGUAUGGUGUAGCGGUGAAAUGCGUAGAGAUCAUACAGAACACCGAUUGCGAAGGCAGCUUACCAAACUAUAUCUGACGUUGAGGCACGAAAGCGUGGGGAGCAAACAGGAUUAGAUACCCCAGUAGUC
rnacentral:rRNA from 1 species